AUUGAACGCUGGCGGCAGGCCUAACACAUGCAAGUCGAGCGGUAACAGGACUAGCUUGCUAGUUGCUGACGAGCGGCGGACGGGUGCGUAACACGUAGGAAUCUACCCAGUAGCGGGGGAUAGCCCGGAGAAAUCCGGAUUAAUACCGCAUACGCCUUACGAGGGAAAGCAGGGGCUUCUUCGGAACCUUGCACUAUUGGAUGAGCCUGCGUCGGAUUAGCUAGUUGGUGGGGUAAAGGCCUACCAAGGCAACGAUCCGUAGCUGGUCUGAGAGGAUGAUCAGCCACACUGGGACUGAGACACGGCCCAGACUCCUACGGGAGGCAGCAGUGGGGAAUAUUGCACAAUGGGCGCAAGCCUGAUGCAGCCAUGC
rnacentral:rRNA from 1 species